GCGAGUGUCGCCAAGUGGUUACGGCAGCGGCUUGUGGUGCCGCCAUUCGGGGGUUCGAGUCCCCUCAUUCGCC
rnacentral:tRNA from 1 species